rnacentral:lncRNA from 1 species
UUUUUCUCCUCCUCUCUGUAUUCCUUUUUUUCCUUUCAUCCGCCUCUAUAUCCAGAAACCCUAAUCUCCAUUCUCUCUUCUCUUCUCCCUCUUCGUCGCCUUUCAUCUUCUUCCUUUGUAAGUUGUUUAGGGUUUUACAAAAAUAUAGAUUCAACAAACAACGCAGAGUAUGAAUCUCAGGAAGGAAAGACCGAUCCUUUUCUUGGUCUAUUCUAUUUUUCUUCUCUGAUCAAUCUUCUAAUAGGUAUUCUGAUUUAACUUUUUCACUUUGUCAGUAUUAGUUUUGUUUUCGUAUUUCGAUUGAUUGUUGUAAGAAUUUUGAGGGAUUUGUUAUCGCUUUAUAGUUACAACCAAAUUGUUUUCUUGAAUCUUUUGUAGUCAAUUGUUUGAAAGUUUAUGUUUUCACUAAACACUCAUGUUCUUGAGAACCCUAAUUUUUUUCUGUUUGAUGAUACGAGUUGAAUAUCAUAUGGUUUGAUACGGGUUGCAACCCAUUGAAGUUGAUUACUUGGAAGAACUGAAGAAGCAUGGUGUAAUGGCGUGAUUUACUGGACAUUUCACCCACGCUAAGGGAGGCAGGUGGUGCCAUUGUCGAUGACUCUUUUACAAGAUGUUUCAAGUCAAAUCCUCAAGAACCUUGGAAUUGGAAUGUGUAUUUGUUCCCCCUUGGUGUUUAGGAGUUGUAGUGAGAUAUGGAAUUCUUUUCCCUGUAAGAAGAUUUUGAUUUGGAAGGCUUCUGAUAUGCCCAUUUACUACUGCAGUUGUGAUUACGAAUCGAGAUGAAACAUCGACUAGAAAAUAGCAGAGCUCAUCUGAGAUAACCAUAAACCAUCGACUAAAAAGGAACAGUGCCCAAAUGAUAUGGUAUUGCAAAGUCGGAUCAAAAUGUGAAAUAAGGUGAAGGGUAGCUGGGGAAUUGGAGAAUAAAACAGAUAAUUCACACUUAAUUAAUUCUUUUGAUAUCCGUUUGUGUAGAUCAGUUACUUAUUUUGUCAAUAGAUAAAUCUUUAAUAGAUUUAUAAUAAUCGAAAAUCGUUUAUGGAUUUU